UACGUAGGGUGCAAGCGUUGUCCGGAAUUAUUGGGCGUAAAGAGCUCGUAGGCGGCUUGUCGCGUCGGCUGUGAAAACCUGGGGGCUCAACCCCGGACCUGCAUCCGAAACUUCCCGGCUAGAGGUAGGUAGGGGAGAUCGGAAUUCCUGGUGUAGCGGUGAAAUGCGCAGAUAUCAGGAGGAACACCGGUGGCGAAGGCGGAUCUCUGGGCCUUACCUGACGCUCAGGCGCGAAAGCUAGGGGAGCGAACAGG
rnacentral:rRNA from 1 species